CUAGGCACCUUCUCACAUGGUCGACUAUAGGUUGUCUAUUGUGUCUUGCAGGUCUUAUAUAUAUACAGUUAACAAAUAUGACUCGUAUAUAUUUCUUAAUUUCUGAAUUAUUGCAACGAAUCGACUAGAACGCGAUAGUUUUACUUUCUCAAUUAUUUCCGCAACAUUUCGUUGCUUUUAAUUGCUAAAAUUAAAAAUAAUAUACUGUGUUGUAUAUUCUACCACACAUUAUUACCCCCUCCAAAACACUAAGGUAUUCAUGACGUAUUUAAUUAAUGAAAUAAGGUACUUGAUGUAAUUAUGAAUAUAAGUAGGUCAUGAGCAAUGCGCAUAAACAAAAUACAUGGCAAGGACAUGUAUAACAAGCGAAAUAUAAAAGAAUGUAAUUUCGACUCAUCUCAGACAAUCCUGGACAAAACAUCUGCGACACUUCCAAUUAUACUUGACAAAAUAUCGUAAUGUUGUCAUAAAUUUAGAAAACCUCCCCCUUUCCCCCACCAUUCAAUGUUGAUUGGAUUCGUAGAAUACGGAUAAAACGUCCAACAUUGUUUUGGGGGGCGGAGGGGGGCAAACGAGUAAAUUAUUCCGGUCUAACUGGUAAAAAAAGCCACAAAGGAAUGUUUUAAUAGAGUGUCGCAGAUGGUUUUGUCCAGGAUUGUAGAU